rnacentral:misc_RNA from 1 species
AACGCAUAUUGCGCUCUUUGGUAUUCCGAAGAGCAUGCUUGUUUGAGUAUCAGUAAACACCUCAAAACUCUUGAUUUUUUUCAAAAGCUUUGGACUUGAGCAAACCCAACGCCAUAUCUUCUGAUGUUGCGGCGGGUUGCUUGAAAUGCAGGUGCAGCUGGACAUUCUCCUGGGCUAUAAGCAUAUUUAUUUAAUCCCGUUAAACGGAUUAUUACUUUUGCUGCAGCUAACAUAAAGGGAGUUCUGACCAUUUUGGCUGACUGAUGCAGGAUUUCACAGAAUCGGAUUAAAAAACGACUCUGUCAAACUCGAUCUCAAAUCAAGUAAGACUACCCGCUGAACUUAA